CCUACGGGCGGCUGCAGUGGGGAAUAUUGCACAAUGGGGGAAACCCUGAUGCAGCGACGCCGCGUGAGUGAAGAAGGAAUUCGUUGUGUAAAGCUCUAUCAGCAGGGAAGAAAAUGACGGUACCUGAGUAAGAAGCCACGGCUAACUACGUGCCCGCAGCCGCGGUAAUGAGUAGGGGGCAAGCGUUAUCCGGAUUUACUGGGUGUAAAGGGAGCGUAGACGGCAGUGCAAGUCUGGAGUGAAAGGCGGGGGCUCAACCCACGGACUGCAGUGGAAACUGUACGGCUUGAGUGCAGGAGAGGUAAGUGGAAUUCCUAGUGUAGCGGUGAAAUGCGUAGAUAUUAGGAGGAACACCAGUGGCGAAGGCGGCUUACUGGACUGUAACUGACGUUGAGGCUCGAAAGCGUGGGGAGCAAACAGGAUUAGAUACCCGGGUAGUC
rnacentral:rRNA from 1 species